rnacentral:rRNA from 1 species
AGAGUUUGAUUAUGGCUCAGGAUGAACGCUAGCGGCAGGCUUAACACAUGCAAGUCGAGGGGCAGCGGGAUGUAGCAAUACAUGCCGGCGACCGGCGGAUGGGUGCGUAACGCGUAUGCAACCUACCUUAUACAGGGGAAUAACCUUUCGAAAGGGAGACUAACACCCCAUAGUAUUGAUUUAAGGCAUCUUAGAUUAAUUAAAUAUUUAUAGGUAUAAGAUGGGCAUGCGUAUGAUUAGCUAGUUGGUAAGGUAACGGCUUACCAAGGCGACGAUCAUUAGGGGUUCUGAGAGGAAGGUCCCCCACACUGGUACUGAGACACGGACCAGACUCCUACGGGAGGCAGCAGUGAGGAAUAUUGGUCAAUGGGCGCAAGCCUGAACCAGCCAUGCCGCGUGCAAGGAAGACGGCCUUAUGGGUUGUAAACUGCUUUUACAUAAGACUAACCGUAUAUUUGCGAAUAUACCUGAAUGUAUUAUGAGAAUAAGGAUCGGCUAACUCCGUGCCAGCCGCCGC